GAUGAACGCUGGCGGCGUGCCUAAUACAUGCAAGUCGAGCGAACAGAUAAGGAGCUUGCUCCUUUGACGUUAGCGGCGGACGGGUGAGUAACACGUGGGUAACCUACCUAUAAGACUGGAAUAACUCCGGGAAACCGGGGCUAAUGCCGGAUAACAUUUAGAACCGCAUGGUUCUAAAGUGAAAGAUGGUUUUGCUAUCACUUAUAGAUGGACCCGCGCCGUAUUAGCUAGUUGGUAAGGUAACGGCUUACCAAGGCAACGAUACGUAGCCGACCUGCGGGGGUGAUCGGCCACACUGGAAGUGAGACACGGUCCAGACACCUACGGAAGGCAGCAGUAGGGAAUGGUCCGCAAUGGGCGAAAGCCUGACGGAGCAGCGGCGCGUGAGUGAAGAAGGUCUUCGUAUCGUAAAACGCUGUUAUUAGGGAAGAACAAAUGUGUAAGUAACUGUGCACGUCUGGACGGAACCGAUACAGAAAGCCACGGCAAACUACGU
rnacentral:rRNA from 1 species